ACCAGAAUUGCACGCAAUAUUCCAACAGUGGCCUAAACUCAUAUCUUGCAAGGCAUUCGCCUGCGAUUCUGGAUUGCUAGUCCACUGACAGCACCUAUUUACCACUAUCUUCCCUGCCAGCCUGGCUCUGGUCUUAAGGAACCCAGGAAUUAUUGAAGCUGAUUGUUUACUUCAUCUGUGCAGAGAUCGCCUUUCCAACUUGCUUUGAUGUAAUCUUCCAUUGGUUCCAGUUUCUCCUUUUCCUUUCUUCCUGUAGGAUUUUGAAGUAUGAUUGAAAGGUUUUAGAGGUCCUCACAUUAUAAAGAAGUGGAUUUCCCUUCCUCAGAGGAAAAGCAAACAGUCCGUUGGGUGUCAUGGGAAGAAGAGGGCUACAGGUGAUCGUUGUCCAUGGAGUGUGCCCUCAGAUGUUGGAGAUGGCUGGCCAAGGUGGAGGCCCACAGGACUAACCUACGAACUGGAGCUAUCUGCUCUCAGUUGGCAUCCAGAUUCUCUACACUUUGUGUGGGAGAAUAGCAAAUCGCUAUCAAUGAAGCAAGCACAGUUUGAGUCACUGCUGGGCAGAUAGCCAUCCUCUUCGGAAAACUGGACCGGCCGCC